ensembl:lncRNA
GAGAGAGACAAGUAGAGAGAGAGAGAUACAGAGAGAGACCGGUGGAGAGAGAGAGCGAUACAGAGAGAGACAGGUAGAGAGAGAGAGAGAGAGAAUGAGAUACAGAGAGGGACAGGUAGAGAGAGAGAUACAGAGGGAGACAGGUAGAGAGAGAGAGAGAGAGAAUGAGAUACAGAGAGGGACAGGUAGAGAGAGAGAGAGAGACAAACAAGUAGAGAGAGAGAGAUACAGAGAGAGACCGGUGGAGAGAGAGAGAGAGAGCGAUACAGAGAGAGACAGGUAGAGAGAGAGAGAGAGAGAGAGAGAAUGAGAUACAGAGAGGGACAGGUAGAGAGAGAGAGAGAGAGAGAGAGAGAGAGACAAGUAGAGAGAGAGAGAUACAGAGAGAGACCGGUGGAGAGAGAGAGAGAGCGAUACAGAGAGGGACAGGUAGAGAGAGAGAGAGAGAUACAGAGGGAGACAGGUGGAGAGAGAGAGACAUGGAGAGAAAGACAGAUGCAGAGAUACACAGAGAGAUGGACAGAAAGAUAGAUACAGAAAAAGAGAGGCAGGUACUGUAGAUAAAUACAGAGAGAGACCGGUAGAGAGAGAGAGAUAGAGAUAGAGAGAGAGAUACAGGUAGAGACUGAAAGACAGACGGAGGGAGAGAGACCGAGGCCGUGGAUGUCUGAAUUGUCAGUAGGUGAGAAAAGCCGGAUGGUGUACUGCUUCCGGCGGGAUUUUGCAGCGUGCAACCGACGGACACUGGACACUGCACGAGUCAAAAAUCCCACCGGUGCGGACGAGCUCAGGAAAUAAAUGUCGGAGGACAGCGUCGGCUCUUUAAGUAUUAAACCUCGGUUAAACGGGAAUUAUUUAACAAUACCCGAAUACAUCAUCGACUUAUUGAAGGGUUAAAGAAGUAAACGUUAAAAUCUUUUUUGUGAUCUCCAUCA